CUUCCUCCAUGUAAUAUCUGCCUGCUCCAGCGCCUCUGGUUAUAUAGCAGCCGGCUGGCCGGGGCCCCCGGGCAGGGUUUGUAGAGCAGUCAGCACUAUGCUUUCUCUGAGAUCCUUUCUGCUGAGCCUCAGAGAUUCCAGCAGCUCAGCCCCAUAGUCUGAGCCACGGUCGCCUGUUUGCCCGGCUAAUCUUGGUCACAAAUGACUCAACAGCUUCGUUGCUCUGGCCAGUGUUUUGACUGUUGUCAGAGAGGAGCCUCGCAGAACGGGACAAAGCUUUUCCCCAGCAAGAGAAGAAAAAGAGACCAACAGUGAAGGGGGGAUGCUACCCAGCCUGAAGCACCCCACCCUGCUAGCAGCUGCUGGGAAAGGGAUAUUUGUGUGAGAUCGCUGCCCAGAUGCUUUUCAGCGCACGGAAGGCCCAGCGGAUCUAUGGAUAUACACUUGCUCCAGAGACUUUCUCCUCUAUUUGAGAUACGGACAGUGUGCACUGAAGUCAUCUCAGGCCAGAC